UAGGGACCCGCGCCUGCAGCCCGGGGGUUCCACUGGGAGCAGUGGGAAGCGAAUGUGGUCCACGGGCUAGGCCUCCUAUACGUAAGCGUUUUUCCCGUACUUGCCGAAGCUGCUGUCGCCGUCUUCAUCCGAGGCUACGGCGGGCAAGCGGGCAGUGAGGCUGGAGGCGGGCAUCGGGGCCUUGUAGGGAACCCGGACGCUGGUGGAGGGGGAGAGAACCUGGGUCAGAGGGAGGUGCGGCCCUCGGCCCGCCCCCCACGGUGCUCCUUCCCUUACUUGGCUGCUGGGUCGUCGUCCUGAGCGCAGCAGCAGCUGGAGCAGAGGCAGAUGCCGCCCAGGAUGGAGAGCAGGGAGGCGGUCCAGCCCAGGUAGAGCGCGGGGCCCAGCUCAUACCUGGGGAUGAGGUCGAACAGGCGGCACUAGCUCGAGGGUCAGGGGCUAAGACCCCCCGCUGCCCCCGUGGGUGGGACUUCCACACUCACUUGGUCCCCGGAUACAAGGGGUCGAAGAAGUCCCGGGUGAUGUUGAAGGCGUACCAGGAGAUAGCCACCAUCCCGCAGACCCCUGCACAGGGAGAGGGGGACGGCACUAGGCCCAGCAGAGGAAGGGGCGGCCCAGGGAGCAGGACCGGGCAGCAAGUCCAAGAGCAAGUUUAUUUCUACCCCUUUCCUUUUUCCCUCCCCAGCUCAUGACUCAUGUUUCCUAGGUCACCCACGGGCUGCUCCACCCAGCACCCAGGAUCCACCUGCAGCCCCCUCGCUCCUGAGUCCUCAGAGCUGGACCAAGCCUUCACUACUCGGAGCUUCAAGGCCUGAGGCCAGCCAGGCCCCUGGACUACAGGCCGCUCCAGGGGGCUGGUCUUCCUGUGAGCCACCUGCCCUUUCUGAGCCCGUUUCCACAUCUGGAGAAAAGGAAGACCCGCCUUGCCUCACAGGCUUGUGUGGUGAUGUGUGCAGAAACAGUCUGCAAAUUGAGAUGGUCCGUCAGAGGAAUGAGCCGAGAGCGCUGGGCAGCUGUUGACGAGGAGAUGGAAGGAAUAAACGGAACGGGCCAAAAGUCCACCCCCUCCCCCCAGCCUCUGGGCUGCCCUGGGCUCCCCGCCCCACGAGGGUGGGGGGAGAGGACUUACCGGGGAGUG